ACAGGCGCCAGGCGCUCCGGCCGCAAGGGAGCAGGGAGCCCUGCCAGCUGGGCCACCCGAGGGGCGUUGCGGGGCUCCGGGCGGGGUCGACCCGGGGGGCUCCGUCGGGCCCCACCAGCCUUGCGCCUUUUUCGCUCGGUCUCCUUGGCCUCCCGCUCCUGCGACGCCGCUUUCCUUUUCUCUUGCUCCCGAGCUCGGACCUCGGCCAGGGGCCCCGCCCGCCAGUUGGUCGCCUCCUGCAGCACCCUGGAGGCCCAGGGCCGGCGGGGCGGCGGCUGUGGGGAUCCCGGGCGCGGCCCACACCUGGGACAAUGAGCAGGAACCCAGGGUCUUGCUGUGUUGCUGAGCUGGUCUUGAACUCCUGGCCUCCCGCCUCAGUCUCCCAAAGUGCUGGGAUUACAGGGAAUGUGACUUCACUGGACGCAGUAUAAAGAUCUUCAGAUGUCCUCCUGCCGGGGAUUGCAGGGAUCACAGAAAGACCAUCGAGGUCCAGGAGCUACCUGCAAGCGGAGAUCCCUCUGGACGCCCCGUGCCUCACCCAGCAAAGCCGGCUCACAACCCUGCGCUCUCAAACCUCUAAAAGGGCUUGAGGUGCCAAUAGGAAAGGAGGCCCGAGAUUGCCACGGCAUACGUGGGCCCCAAGGAGGGAGCCAGGAGUCACUGCCUGCUUGGGCUAAGGGUACCGCGUACGGAAAGGCGGCGGGGACGCGGCCCAGUUCCAGGAGAUGCGCCCAACGAAGAAGCGGAGGAACAGGGUCACGGGAUAGGGCAGACACCCGGCUGCUUUUUGUUUGCUAGACACCAGCGCCAGCCCCUGCCCGGCCCUCCCGGUCUCCUAAGGGUUGGGGGGGUGUCUUAGGCUCCACAGCGCCCCCGACCGCCCUCCUGCACUCCUCACCGUCUCCAUUGCAAGAGGCGCCCGGCUUGGUUUCCUCGCUUUAGGAAAC
rnacentral:lncRNA from 1 species